rnacentral:rRNA from 1 species
UACGGGGGGGGGCAAGCGUUGUUCGGAAUUACUGGGCGUAAAGGGCUUGUAGGUGGCCAACUAAGUCAGACGUGAAAUCCCUCGGCUUAACCGGGGAACUGCGUCUGAUACUGGAUGGCUAGAGGUUGGGAGAGGGAUGCGGAAUUCCAGGUGUAGCGGUGAAAUGCGUAGAUAUCUGGAGGAACACCGGUGGCGAAGGCGGCAUCCUGGACCGACACUGACGCUGAGGCGGCGAAAGCGUGGGGAGCAAACAGG